rnacentral:rRNA from 1 species
UACGUGGGGGGCAAGCGUUGUUCGGAAUUACUGGGCGUAAAGGGCGCGUAGGCGGCCUACUAAGUCGGACGUGAAAUCCCUCGGCUCAACCGAGGAACUGCGUCCGAGACUGGCAGGCUGGAAUCCGGGAGAGGGAUGUGGAAUUCCAGGUGUAGCGGUGAAAUGCGUAGAUAUCUGGAGGAACACCGGUGGCGAAGGCGGCAUCCUGGACCGGUAUUGACGCUGAGGCGCGAAAGCUAGGGGAGCAAACGGG